AGGUCCUAUCAUACCAUCACUAAUGCACCGGAUCCCAUCAGAACUUCGCAGUUAAGCUUGCUUGGGCUGGAGUAGUACUGGGAUGGGUGACCUCC
rnacentral:rRNA from 1 species